GAGGGGAAUGGCAACCCACUCCAGUCUUCUUGCCUGGAGAAUCCCAUGGAGACAGAGAAGCCUGGCGGGCUACAGUCCAUGGGGUCGCAGAGAGUCAGACGCAACUGAAUCAACUUAGCAGGCAUGUCCUUCUAAACUUCCUUUCUUCCUUUUUAUUUCUUCCUCUCUCUCUCCUUCUCAUUCUUCAUUCAUUCUUGAUUUCUUACCAGAUUUCAUGAAACAUUGACUAUAUGCAUCAGCAUGGGGAUUGAAAAACUAAAGACCUUGCCUCAAGGAAUCUACACACAAUGCAGAAAGUUGCGGAGAUAAUCACGGCUUGGAUUCAACAACCGUUCUGGCGAGGCAGCCUGCAUUCCGUGCGCAUGGCAGGUUGACCCCCGUUCUGGAUUCCCAGCAGCUACUGGAGCUCAUUUUGCUCCCAGGAAGUUGGAGGGACUCUCCCCGGUGGUGCUGGCCACGCUCCGCAGGAGGACAGAGGAGACCGAAUCAUGGUCCACCUUCGGUUUUGUUCUGGGCUAUGAAGAAUCAAGCUGCUGUGAAUCCGCAAGUUCUAGCCCUGUAAGAAAAGGACUUCUUGCAACAAACGAAGCAAGUGUGUUACAGAAGUGUAUUUGCAAAAGCUUCAAAACAGAAGCAGCUAUGACCAGCCCCCAGAUUGCAGUCUUACUUAUGACCCAGGCAGCAAAUUGGCCAGUGGGCCUGUGACCCCCAAACUUCUCAUCUAUGCGGGAGUCGUGACAUCUGAGCAUAUAUGACCCUGAAAGAUCAGCUGGGGUAAGUAGGCCAAAGGCCACUGUGAUAGACACUGUAUGCAGAUGACCCAUGUAUCUUGGUUGAAGGUGAUUCGGUUCAUGAGGAAAUAAGAUGAGGCAAAUAGCGUCGAA
rnacentral:lncRNA from 1 species